GUGGGGAAUCUUGCGCAAUGGGCGAAAGCCUGACGCAGCCAUGCCGCGUGAAUGAUGAAGGUCUUAGGAUUGUAAAAUUCUUUCACCGGGGACGAUAAUGACGGUACCCGGAGAAGAAGCCCCGGCUAACUUCGUGCCAGCAGCCGCGGUAAUACGAAGGGGGCUAGCGUUGCUCGGAAUUACUGGGCGUAAAGGGCGCGUAGGCGGACAGUUUAGUCAGAGGUGAAAGCCCAGGGCUCAACCUGGGAAUUGCCUUUGAUACUGGCUGUCUUGAGUACGGGAGAGGUGAGUGGAACUCCGAGUGUAGAGGUGAAAUUCGUAGAUAUUCGGAAGAACACCAGUGGCGAAGGCGACUCACUGGCCCGUUACUGACGCUGAGGCGCGAAAGCGUGGGGAGCAAACAGGAUUAGAAACCCGAGUAGUCC
rnacentral:rRNA from 1 species